AGUGAACGCUGGCGGUAGGCCUAACACAUGCAAGUCGAACGGCAGCACAGUAAGAGCUUGCUCUUACGGGUGGCGAGUGGCGGACGGGUGAGGAAUACAUCGGAAUCUACUUUUUGGGGGGGGAUAACGUAGGGAAACUUAUGCUAGUACCGCAUACGACCUACGGGGGAAAGCAGGGGAUCGUCGGACCUUGCGCGAUUGAAUGAGCCGAUGUCGGAUUAGCUAGUUGGCGGGGUAAAGGCCCACCAAGGCGACGAUCCGUAGCUGGUCUGAGAGGAUGAUAAGCCACACUGGAGCUGAGCCACGGUCCAGACUCCUACGGUAGGCAGCAGUGGGGAAUAUUGGACAAUGGGCGCAAGCCUGAUCCAGCCAUACCGCGUGGGUGACGAAGGCCUUCGGGUUGUAAAGCCCUUUUGUUGGGAAAGAAAAGCAGCAGGUUAAUACCCCGCUGUUCUGACGGUACCCAAAGAAUAAGCACCGGCUAACUUCGUG
rnacentral:rRNA from 1 species